AACGAACGUUGGCGGCGUGCCUAACACAUGCAAGUCGAGCGCGGGAGACUUCGGUCAAACGAGCGGCGCACGGGUGAGGAACACGUGAGUAAUCUGCCCUAGAGUCCGGGAUAACCGUCCGAAAGGAUGGCUAAUACUGGAUAAGCUCACGGAGACGUAGGUCUCUGGGAGAAAAGCUCCGGCGCUUUAGGAUGAGUUCGCGUCCCAUUAGGUAGUUGGUGAGGUAAUGGCUCACCAAGCCUUCGAUGGGUAACUGGUCUGAGAGGAUGAUCAGUCACACUGGAACUGAGACACGGUCCAGACUCCUACGGGAGGCAGCAGUGGGGAAUAUUGCGCAAUGGAGGAAACUCUGACGCAGCAACGCCGCGUGGGUGAUGAAGGCCU
rnacentral:rRNA from 1 species